rnacentral:rRNA from 1 species
UACGGAGGGUGCGAGCGUUAAUCGGAAUAACUGGGCGUAAAGGGCACGUAGGCGGGCUGUUAAGUUAGAUGUGAAAGCCCCGGGCUUAACCUGGGAAUUGCAUUUCAAACUGGGAAGCUAGAGUAUGGUAGAGGGGGGUGGAAUUCCACGUGUAGCGGUGAAAUGCGUAGAGAUAUGGAAGAACACCAGUGGCGAAGGCGACCCCCUGGACAAAGACUGACGCUCAGGUGCGAAAGCGUGGGGAGCAAACAGG